rnacentral:rRNA from 1 species
UACAGAGGUCUCAAGCGUUGUUCGGAUUCACUGGGCGUAAAGGGUGCGUAGGUGGUGAGGUAAGUCGGAUGUGAAAGCUCGGAGCUCAACUCCGAAAUGGCAUUGGAAACUACCUUGCUCGAGGAAUGGAAGGGGGACUGGAAUUCUCGGUGUAGCAGUGAAAUGCGUAGAUAUCGAGAGGAACACCAGUGGCGAAGGCGAGUCCCUGGACAUCUCCUGACACUGAGGCACGAAAGCUAGGGGAGCAAACAGG